GUCAGUUUCUUUUCCUUCCAGCUGCUGUGUGUUUCUCACAUUAACUCUCAGAAUCUCUCUGCAGGUGACAAAGAAGCUCGCGGGUAUCGCCUCCGACACGGCCGCCUGGGCUACCAACGUCGGCAAUGAGCACGGGCAGGUCCUCAUGAGCGUCCUCACCUCCACCGAGAGAGCGCCGGGGGCCUGUCCGGGAUGGCGGCCGGCUUGAUGAGGCGGUACCGACUCGCCGGGGUACCUCCCCCCCAGCUGAUCUACGUGGACCGCGACUGCUGACAGCUGUCUUGUUUCAGGAGUGGGAGCAUCUCGUGGUGAGACUGGACAUCUGGCACCUGAUGCGACGCUUCGCAUCAGGUGUCAACACCGAGAGCCACGAGCUGUACCCCACCUUCAUGAGGCAGCUGUCUAACUGCAUCUUUGAGGUGGACGCCGGAGAUGCACGCCGUCUCGCAGAGGCUAAGCGGUCCCAGCUGGAGGGGAAGCACGGGAUGGUUGGACUGACGGACGCCGCGGUGAACCAGAGGAUCUCCAAGGAGGAGUGGAGGCUCCACGUCCGCCGCAGGACACGGGGGCCUGAGGAAUCGGCCCUCCUCAUCCAGGAGCUCCUCGACACCUUCGGUGGACCGGCAGGACGCAACAACCUGGGCAUCCCGUUGCUCAACGCUCUCCGCAUCCAGGAAAUAUGGAGUACGCAGAGGACCCACCUCAGCUGCAUCCAGGACCCGCCAGGUGUGCAGCUGUACACCCAGACGGGCCGGCUGACCAAGGGAGGAGUCAGCCUGCCCGUAUAUCGCUGCGCGAGGGGCUCCACCUCUCUGGAGUCCUUCCACCUCCACCUUAACCGGUUCAUCCCAGGGACCCGGGCCAGCGCCAAGCACUUCCAGGCGUUCCUGGUGGAUGGACUGGUGAGGUGGAACGAGGACCGCGCAGCGGCAGCUGCACCACCACCGGCUGCAGACGAGGGACGGCUGGGACCUCUGCACUCCUACAGUGGCCACCUCAAGCACGUCCUUAACCAGAAGAGCCAAAGAGUGCUUGGUCUUCAGAUGGUUAAGGACUUCACCGAGCCGGCUGAGUACACAGGGGAGCUCAUCGGAGUGGAGUACCUGUACCAGCAGACCGGCAAAGUGCUUGAGGACGUCAGCCUGGACCCUGACACUCCGGACGAGGCUCCUGCCAUCGAGGCGCUGGAGGAGGAUGAGGGCAUCGAGGAAGACGUAGAGGACCCUACCGUCUUCGGGCCUGAUACUCCGUCCUCCAGCGUGGCAGCAGCCCGGUCAGGUGAUCCAGCUGACGCACCGUUUGAGCCAUCCCGUUCGGGUCAAGUUGCCCCUCCUGAGGCCCCAGAGGUUCAGGACCCUGAUCCCCAGCAGCCCUCCUCAGACUCUGAAGAGGACAUCCAGGGUCCUGAUGGCCAGCCCGGGUACCGGCACAUCCUGAAGCUGGCCCAGGCGCUGGUGGAAGGGAGGAACCUUCUGGGGCUGUCUGAGAAUAGGGUAGACCGACUCAUCCUGCUUUGGACUCGCUUGGCGGAGCAGGACAAGCGGCGAGUCGACUACCCUCCCAGAUACCGGGAGAGGCAACCAAAGGGGCGGUUCAAGGCAGCGAAGGGGAAGAACACCUCCUGUGCUGGAAAGGAGAGUCUCCAACGCUGCCUCCUCGGGGUCAACUCGGGGCCUUCCACCUGGCCCAGCGCCAGUCGCCUGGUGGAGGCCAUUUGCACGCUGCUCUGCAAGCUCCACCCGGCGGCCACGCGGGUCGGCGGGAUGCACAAGCCCCGGCUCAGCCUCAUCCUCGCUGACUAUGUGUCCAUCAGAGAGGUAGUGCUGAGCACCCCGAGGCUGAUGGCUCAGACGGACAUCCAGCUCUUUGAGCUGAACCACCGGACCCUCAGCCAGUGGUUCUCUCGCAAGCAGAGGGGGG
ensembl:lncRNA